rnacentral:tRNA from 2 species
GGAGAGGUGACCGAGUGGCUGAAGGUGCACGCCUGGAACGCGUGUGUAGGGCAACCUACCGUGGGUUCGAAUCCCACUCUCUCCG